ensembl:lncRNA
UCCUUUUCCGGGCUUAAUUAGGAGGUCCCCGUCCUCUGGAGGUGUUUGGGGUCGUGUUCCGGGCUCUGGGGGUGUUUGGUAAAGAGAUCCGGGUUCUGGCGUCUUUUUCCGGGUUCAAUUCGGCCGUUGUGGGCCUCUGGAGGUGUUUGGGACCGUGUUCCGGGCUCUGGGGGUGUCUGGUAAAGAGAUCCGGGUUCUGGCGUCUUUUUCCGGGUUUAAUUCGGCCGUUGUGGGCCUCUGGAGGUGUUUGGGACCGUGUUCCGGGCUCUGGGGGUGUCUGGUAAAGAGAUCCGGGUUCUGGUGUCUUUUUCCGGACUUAAUUCGGCCGUUGUGGGCCCCUGGAGGUGUUUGCGGACCUCCGCGGGUAAAAUAAUAGAAUUAAAAAAGAAUUAAAGUUUCCAGUCGGGACGAUAAGGAGGGCAAAAAAGUUUUUUUCGGACAAUGCAGAGGAAAGCCCUAAAAAAUCCUGGGGAUUUUUGGAUCGCUUCGAUAAUUUUUUUUUUAGCUGACAUCACUGGGCCACCAGGUCGCAGAUUUCAGAAACCUGGUUUUCGGAAACAGAGAUCUCCAGGACAGGGCCCCGGGCUUCGGGGGGAGCGUUCCUCAGCUGGACCUAAGCAUAGUGGGCCAGGCCCCGGGCGGAAAGCGGCUCCUGGAGCCGAGAUACGGGGGUGGCUCCCCACGCGACUAACCCGAUUUCGGAGCACUAUUUUCGGACGCUGAUGGCAGAGCAGCAGGUGCACUGGAUGGAGGAAAAUAACAGCUCCAGAGAGCGGCAGAACCCAGACCAUAUCCCAGAACGGCACUUUAUUCCCGGACAGUGAUGGCAGAACAGCAGGUGUACCCCAUGGAUGAAUACACAGUUCCAGAGAGCGGCAGAACCCAGACCAUAUCCCAGAACGGCACACUAUUCCCGGACAGUGAUGGCAGAACAGCAGGUGUACCGCAUGGAUGAAUACACAGUUCCAGAGAGCGUGAUAUCCCAGUCCAUGUCCCAGAACGGCACACUAUUCCCGGACAGUGAUGGCAGACCAGCAGGUGUACCGCAUGGAUGAAUACAGAGUUCCAGAGAGCGGGAGAUCCCAGACCAUGUCCCAGAACGGCACACUAUUCUCGGACAGUGAUGGCAGACCAGCAGGUGUACCGCAUGGAUGAAUACACAGUUCCAGAGAGCGGGAGAUCCCAGACCAUGUCCCAGAACGGCACACUAUUCCCGGACAGUGAUGGCAGACCAGCAGGUGUACCGCAUGGAUGAAUACACAGUUCCAGAGAGCGGGAGAUCCCAGACCAUGUCCCAGAACGGCACACUAUUCUCGGACAGUGAUGGCAGAACAGCAGGUGUACCGCAUGGAUGAAUACAGAGUUCCAGAGAGCGGGAGAUCCCAGACCAUGUCCCAGAACGGCACACUAUUCUCGGACAGUGAUGGCAGAACAGCAGGUGUACAUUAUGGAUGAAUACAGAGUUCCAGAGAGCCGCAGAAUCCAGACCAUGUCCCAGAACGGCACACCAUUUCCGGACAGUGAUGGCAGAACAGCAGGUGUACCGCAUGGAUGAAAAUAACAGCUCCAGAGAGCGGCAGAACCCAGACCAUGUCCCAGAACGGCACACUAUUCUCGGAUGCUGAUGGCAGAACAGCAGGUGCAGUGGACGGAUGAAUAAACAGUUCCAUAGAGCGGGAGAUCCCAGACCAUGUCCCAGAACGGCACACUAUUCUUGGAUGCUGAUGGCAGAACAGCAGGUGCAGUGGACGGAUGAACACACAGUUCCAGACAGCGGGAGAUCCCAGACCAUGUCCCAGUACGGGACACUAUUCUCGGAUGCUGAUGGCAGAACAGCAGGUGCAGCGGACGGAUGAACACACAGUUCCAGACAGCGGGAGAUCCCAGACCAUGUCCCAGUACGGGACACUAUUCUCGGAUGCUGAUGGCAGAACAGCAGGUGCAGUGGACGGAUGAAUACACAGUUCCAUAGAGCGUGAUAUCCCAGACCAUGUCCCAGUACGGGACACUAUUCUCGGAUGCUAACAGCUGACUUUCUAUUGGAUUCUUCUUUGGAAUAGGACAGUUUCAGAGGCUGGAAUAACACAGACUAAAUAAAAACAUGAUAUCCUGGCAAUCCUUGGCCAGUAUGGGGAUUGAACCCAUGACCUUGG